rnacentral:tRNA from 1 species
UACAUAGUGGUGUACGAGCACGUAAAUUUUUGAUGUUUAAGGAAUAGGUUCAAAUCCUUUCUUUGUAAC